AACAAGCAGGAACAGCCAAGGCCAUGAGUACAUUUACAACAGCUAACAUUCCAAUGUCAGAACGACAUAGGAAGGGGCUGAAACCUGAACAUACAAUGCAUUUCUUUGUGUGUAACAUGAAGAGGUCCUGCCACCAUUAUAACCUAAAAAGGAAUCAAGAGAUGGGCGUUAUUGGGCGUGAACAAGCGUUAUUGGGCGUGAGGGAAGUAACUUUUACAUAUGGAAUGUACUCCCAUACUCUAUGUGUAUAAAAGCAGAGCCGAUGCUCAGGAAAGGCAGUUGAUCCAUCGACCGGCUCGGCUUUGCAACUCUGUAUUAAAGUCUAUAUUGAAUUCACAAAGUUCUUGCAAGAGUAUUAUAUUCUUAAGACAAUUUUCCACUACAUAUUUGGCGAGCUUGCCAGGAGAUCGAAGAGACCUCGGACAGUGUCGUUCUUGGCUGGUGACGGUUUCUCUGGACAAUCUCACAAACGGGUGGCCACCCAACUAUAAACAGGGUAGCUAAGGAUGAAUGCCCCAGGGAGAAUUGGACAUGUGGAAAAUGAAAGGGGUGUCACGCUUGUCGUCGGUUAAAGAGGACCAAAACGCAGCAGGUAUGUGAAUGCUCAUCUCGACGUUUUAAUGAAUACAAAAUGAACACCAAAAUAACAAACAGAAAUAACGAUCGACUGACAGUCUGCAAAGCAUAAGGCUCAACACAGAACAAUCUCCCACAAAUAACAAACACACCUAAUAUAUGGGACUCUCAAUCAAAGGCAGAUAGACAACACCUGCCUUCAACUGAGAGUCCCAACCCCAAUUAACCAAACAUAGAAACAGACAUACUAGACUAAACAUAGAAUACCUGAAAACCAAACAGUGCCCAAAAACCCCGGAAUACUUAAAUCAAAUGCCCCUUCAACAAACACACCACCCCGAACCACAUAAAACGAAUACCCUCUGCCACGUCCUGACCAAACUACAAUACCAAUUGACCUUAUACUGGCCAGGACGUGACAAGGGGGCAAUCCUACAAGAGAAGGGCGGACAUAAGGAUAAUUUAAUAACCUUACCAAAGACACUGUCUAGAUAUGCAGCAAAAUUGAUACAUGGCUUGAGCCAUGUAUAAAUAGGGGGAGUAUGGUAGAGCAGGCAAUAGAACAGGUUAGGAUAAUUACUUAAACAAGAACAUAUUACUUAAACAAAUUAUUUUUUUGUAGAAUAUCCAUUCCAACAUUUGGAAAUGGACUUAUUGAACUAUUCCGAAUUGAGGGGAAGAAGGGGUGUUUAACAAUAACAGAUAAGCAUAGCAAAUGGGUAGAAGCGUUCCCAACUUACUUGGUGGACAUGAUUAUGGUAAAAAAAAAAUGAGGUCAAGAUAUUAUCCCUAGUGUUGGUUUACUAUUAUCUAUCUCUUUAAAUGAUGGAUGACAUUUUAGAUAAUCAGGUAGAGCCUAUAGAAUACCAGAGUUAGAGAUACCGGAACAGGUAGACAUAGAAGUUAAAGAUAUACUAGCAGAGCACAUGAGAAGACUGUUUGUUAACCAAACCCGUAUGUCCAAGAUUUUGUGUCCAACAGGUGAAUUACAGGAGAAGGUGAUUCACUCAAUCCAACCAGGAGACUGGGUGUGGAUCCAGUCCCUGAGGAGAAAAGACAGGAAGCAGCCCCGUGGGGAAGGCCCAUACCAGGUUCUGUUAAACCACUGCCUUUGCCAUUAGAAAAGCUGAGAGAGUCACUUGGGUCCACGUUACCCACUGCAAGAAGGUAUGUACACAUAUGAGCACUGCUGAUCACACACAGAGUUAGGAGAAGAACCGAGUACCAACAGGGUCCGGGGGUCACCUCCUUAACGAAGAUUCCCUAUCCCGACCGUUCAUCACUGUGUGUGCUCCUAGAGGUGUGAGUAUGGGGUGGUACCAAGCAGAGAGACUAAGGGCAGGAGAGGGUUGGCGGUUUUUGGGAAGAGUAGAGACUCUGAGCUGCAUCAUAGUCUAAUCUUUCUGAUACAUUCAGAUCCACCAGAUUCCGGUACUAAUCAAACGAUACCGUUGUCAUCGAGAAGAAGUAAAAGAUAAACUAUAUAAUACACUGAUGAGUGACUUACAUAAUAAGGAGUCAAAGAAGAUCAAGAUGUAGGAUUUAAGGUAAACAUUAAACAACUUCCUAGGAAAGCAGACAACUGUACAGGGACUGGGUGGGUCAGAUUGAGGUACUCGGCCAACCCACCUAGGUUCACCUUAACUCCUGAUGAGUACCAGUGUUAUAGAUACAAGAAUGGCACCGAGAACUUGGAUGAUUUUAAUAGCUGGAAAGUAAUUGUUAAUGUGACUGACUUAGGUUUGAAAGAUGAAUAGAAAAUGCUUAACCUCACAGCACCUAUAACUGAUGUUGGGUGGGCUAGUACCAGCAAAGGACGCAUACGACAGAAAUUACCACAAAGGGUGGUUAGGAGCUUGCGCCCCGGGUUUAUUGGUCCAACCAGUUCAAGUUAGUCAUCAGAGGCCAGUUAUAGGAGGCUAAAGUAGACACAGGAGGAGUUUUGACCAGGAUGGGAGUAGCUUUGUCUAGAUGGAUGCUAUUGGCAUCCACAGGGAAGUUCCAGAUGAAUACAAAGCUAUGAAUCAAAUAUGUGAAGGCUUUAACACUACAUUAUUAUGGUAGUUGACAAUAAAUAAAAAUGUGGAUGGGAUUAAUGACAUCUUUUAUAAUCAACAGAGAUUCAUGAAUGAAACCGGGGAUGCAGUAAAGAGGUUCUCUGACCAAUUAUCCACCACCUCCCUCAUGACCUGGUAAAAUAGACUGACUCUCGAUAUGUUACUGGCAAAAGAGGAUGGUGUAGGUAGAUUGAUUAGGUUCAUUGCUGCACGUACAUUCCUGAUAACACAGCUCAUGUUUGGGAAAUGGAAAAGUGUUGUUAUGGGCUGCUUUCACCUGUAUGAUUGUGUUUGUGUUGUGUGGUUGUUGUUUGGUCCCGUGUGCGAGAGGUCUCAUUUCCAGGGUUCUGGAGAGAUUGAUAACGGAGCAGAUGGGCAACCGGAAUGAUGCCUUUGAUGGAAGUGACCCCAGAGGACACUGAAUCCAGCUCUGGGCAAUGGUCCUUGGUUUGCUGUUGAGGAAGUGAUUGAAUAAAGCUUAUCCAAAAUGUUCUUAUAUGUGUUGAAUGUAGUGGCAGGUGGAUGUGAAGGGUUUUAAGUUCUGGGACAAAGAGUCUGUCCCACACAUGUUAGGUGUAGCCCCUGCCAUAAGAAGGUCCUCUUUUUAUACGUUUUUUAAAUAAUAUGUUCUGAAUUUAUCCUGUGUACUAUUUGUCUUUCCUGAUGUGAGGGUUUGAAGUUCCUGGGUGACUGGUAGUGAACCUAGUACAAGUGAGGUGUAGCCGGAAGGACUUGAGGGUUUUUUAAACUAAUCAUUUAAUCAUUAAAUCGAAAAUUUACAAUUGUGUUGAGUGACACCCUAGGGGGGUGUCAAAGGGGGAAUCUCAAAAUUUCCCUGAAAUUUUAAGAACUUAUGUAUUCACACCUAUCAGGUGUGAAAAGGGGGAUUGUUAGGGUUUGACCAACUAUUUGUUAGCAUAACCUAUAUAAAAUAACAGAGCAGCUAUGCUAUAAUAUGAAGUAUAUAAACUAUAGAUAAUUGAGUACUGCUAUAUGUUAAGAGGAAGUGGCUCAUGUGAUGGUGGGUCAUGUGGAAAGAAUACUGAUGCUUUAAAACAGGGUUUUGCAAGAGCUUUUGCUGAACAACAGCAAUAACAGGAUAUGGGUGAAAUGUAUGUGCAUGGGGGUGUAAGGGUUUUAGAGAACUGUGCAUUGUGCAGUCACAAGAUGAGACAUCCGCCAGGAAGCUGGAGUGCGUCUAGAGGUUGGGACCAACCUGCACGCCAACGAUAGGCUGGAAUAAGUCUAAACCAUAUUCUAGCCUCUACUAUGACAGGCCCUCAGGGAGAGGGAACUAAGUCUGUCCAGUAUUUAAGGAAGAACUUGUAAUGUCAUACCAGAUCUCUGUCUGCCCUGCGUGGUGUUACAGUGAGCCCGUAUAUACGAACCACAUAUUUACCAUUCAAGUGUUUGCAUUAAUUAAAGUACAAAGAAAUCAGAAGUUACUAUGUGCUGACUAUUUUGUUCUGAUACCAGAUUCGAAUUGACGCGACCUGACAGGAUAAAAAAAAAAUACAAAAUAUCUAUAUAUUCAUAACGUAAAAUAAAG
rnacentral:lncRNA from 1 species